GAUGAACGCUGGCGGCGUGCCUAAUACAUGCAAGUCGAGCGAACGGACGAGAAGCUUGCUUUUCUGAUGUUAGCGGCGGACGGGUGAGUAACACGUGGAUAACCUACCUAUAAGACUGGGAUAACUUCGGGAAACCGGAGCUAAUACCGGAUAAUAUUUUGAACCGCAUGGUUCAAAAGUGAAAGACGGUCUUGCUGUCACUUAUAGAUGGAUCCGCGCUGCAUUAGCUAGUUGGUAAGGUAACGGCUUACCAAGGCAACGAUGCAUAGCCGACCUGAGAGGGUGAUCGGCCACACUGGAACUGGGACACGGUCCAGACUCCUACGGGAGGCAGCAGUAGGGAAUCUUCCGCAAUGGGCGAAAGCCUGACGGAGCAACGCCGCGUGAGUGAUGAAGGUCUUCGGAUCGUAAAACUCUGUUAUUAGGGAAGAACAUAUGUGUAAGUAACUGUGCACAUCUUGACGGUACCCAAUCAGAAAGCCACGGCUAACUACGUG
rnacentral:rRNA from 1 species